GGACCCGGAGACGGGGCGUCUCAAGUGUUCCUGGUGACGGAGUAAAGCCGCUGCAGACAUCCGUGAGCAGCUUUAGCGGGGACCGAAGUUUUCAGCUCUUCCAGGUAACUGCCAAGGAGCACAACUGCUGAGUCUCAAGUGUUGCUGUUUCACGUCUUACAUUUUGGUCUGUGAUGCACUUUGGGUCAGCUUCCGUGAAGGUGCGCGGUCUGGCUCUCGACUCCUCAUCUCGCACGUGUCCCAGCACCAUCUGCUGAAGACGCCGUCUUCGCUCCUCUGUGCCGCCUUCGCUCCUGUCGAACGUCAGUCUCUGCACUCACUGGGUCUGUUUCUCUGGUGCACUGGCCCGUCUGUCUACUUCUCACCAACGCCACACCGUCCCGACUACCGCACUUGCAGGGAGCCUUGAGGCCGGGUAACGCCAGUCUCCCAACUUGUGCUUCCCCUUCAGUGUCCGUGUGAUUCUGAGCCCGUGUGUCCUCUCCAUCCACACGUCAGCAUCGGGCUGUCGAGAGCCGCAGCACAGCUUGCUGGGAUCUUGACUGGGACGGUUUGAAUCUCUGGUCUCCCCAUCCAUGAACAUGGGAUUCCUCUCCACUCACUUGGUUCUUUGAUUUUGGCAUCAGAGUUUUGUUUUCUCAGAUGGAUCCUGACAUAUUUUGUUAGAUUUGUAUCUAGCACCAGGUGCUAAUGUAAAUGUUCUUAAAUUCAAAUCCCACUCAGUUGCGGGUGUACUGGUAAACAAUUGGUUAUUAUAUACUAACCUUGGACCCCACAAUGUUGCCAUGACCACUUCUCAGUUGCAGGAAUUUUUUGUCAAUUCUUUUGGGUUUUCUACAUAGACAAUGAUGUCAUUUGAAAACAAAAACAGUUUUAGCUCUUGCUUCUUAAUCUGUGUAUCUUUUACCUUUCUUGUCUUGUUGCAAAAGCUAGGACUUCCCAUAUGAUGCUGGAGAGAGAUGUUCAGAAGCGACGUCCUUGCCUUGUUCCUGACCUUCAGGGGAAAGGGUGGUUUCUAGUUUCUCACCACGAAGGAUGACGUUCACUGUAGCCGUACGUUCCUUAUUAAAUCGAGGAAGUUCCACUCGUUUCCUAGUUUGCUAAAAGCUGUUAUCACAGAUAGGGGUUGGUUUUGUCAAAUGUUUCUUUCUGCAUCCACUGACAUGAUCAUGUUAUUUUUCUUCUUUAAUGUUACAUAAAUUCACCUUCAAACGCUGAAUCACCCUUGCACACCUGGGAUAAACUGCACUUGGUCAUGGUGUCUAAUUCUUGUUAUAUGUUGUUAAGUUUCAUUUGCUAAUUUUUUUGAGGGUUUUUGCAUCAACGUUCAGGAGAGAACUGUAGUUCUCCUCUCAUGUGACACCUUUGUUCUGUUAUCAGGGAAAUGCUGGCUUCAUGGAAUGAAUUAUGAUUUUUUUCCUUCUGU